GAUGAACGCUAGCGGCAGGCUUAACACAUGCAAGUCGAGGGGCAGCAUGACGGAACCUUCGGGUUUUGUUGAUGGCGACCGGCGCAAGGGUGCGUAACGCGUGAGCAACUUGCCCGUUUCAGGGGGAUAACCGGUGGAAACGCCGACUAAUACCCCAUGGCAUUGAGUUGAGGCAUCUCUACUCAAUUAAAGAAUUUCGGAUAAGGAUAGGCUCGCGUGACAUUAGCUAGACGGCGGGGUAACGGCCCACCGUGGCGACGAUGUCUAGGGGUUCUGAGAGGAAGGUCCCCCACACUGGAACUGAGACACGGUCCAGACUCCUACGGGAGGCAGCAGUGAGGAAUAUUGGUCAAUGGUCUGACGACUGAACCAGCCAUGCCGCGUGAAGGUCACGGCCCUAUGGGUCUUAAACUUCUUUUGCGAGGGAGCAAUAAGGCGCACGUGUGCGUCGAUGAGNGUACCUCGCGAAUAAGCAUCGGCUAACUCCGUGCCAG
rnacentral:rRNA from 1 species